UCCAAAGUUGAGACACUCAUCGACAAUAUCAUUGCGGCCGGUGGACACCUAGAUCAAGAAGAUAUUAUCCUCUAAACACUCAACAGACUUCCUGGAACCUAUCAAAGUGUCAAGGCAGCUAUUCGUACCCAACUACAUGCGUUUGUUCUAGAUGACUUUCUCUCUCUUUUUUGUAGUGAAGAGAUCAACAUCACAAGUGAUAAUAAGAAAUUAGACCAGAGUUCUAAACCUACAAUUUCUUGUUAGGUUGUUUCCUCCUGCACGAUGCCGUGGAAGAACUCAUAACAAUGCCAGUUCUAGAGGUGGUCAAAGCACAUCAAAACCUCAAGUUACUUGCCAAAUCUGCAGGAAGUUUGGUCACUUGACAGCCACAUGUUGGCAUCUGUCCAAUCUCAAGUACAUUCCUCUCAUACAAGCCUUGCAAACGACAACCUCCAAUUGGAUCUUGCACUCGAGUUCUACAACACAUCUUUCAAAUUUUAAUCAUUUACUACUGGCUACUAAGGUGACAAGAGCCGAACGGGUAACCGUGGGUACCGACCAAUCCGUAGCAAUGGCACCGUACUUGUUAUCUCUCGAGUAAUUGUUGCAUGGCAGCCAAUCGGCACACCAAUGGGUUUAUUUGACAUGGGUACAAAAUGAACAUGAAAAUGUCAGGUUAAUUUGGAGUUCAUUCACCAUGCCUUAAAAGAUCUCUGUCGUGAAACAAACAAGGUAUCUGAAGGAAAGGAAACAGUUUGGAACUCUACUUGCAGCACUCCAAAUCAAUCAGGAAAUACUAGUUCGCAUGCUUGGCAACAUUCAGGCAAUGCUUCUUGUUGGUUGGCGUCUAUUCAAGUUACACGCAUCUGGAAAGAUAACUAAACGUUUUGUUUUUUGCAAACUUGUGCUGCUAAGUAGCUGUUCUCUGGUUCAAUUAUUCAGGCAUUGAACUCUAAUAAGGCAAGAGAAACAGUUUCCCUUGGUCAUGAAUUAGUUGGAGGAAAUGGUAUAUUGGCUGAUUUGUUAGUGGCAAAGAUUCUGAAUGAAGAAGAGUGCCAAAAACUUGGUGACCUCCUCCUCAAGUUCUUAUAUCAAAAGAAGCCUAAUCAAAUUUUCCCUAAGAUAAUAAUCUUAGAAGGUUGUUCGGAUUGGUCAAAGCUGAUGAUGUAACAUCCUCAAUUCACUGUUGAUGUUUUAAUUAUAUAUUUUCUUAAAAAAAAUUCUUUUUCCAAAUGAGUUGUUAGC